UACCACCAUUGUUGUUUACAUAAUGUAUAGUAAUAUUUCAAAAAGAAGCUAUUUUGUUUUAAAUUAACUAAUAGGGAAAAACGGAUAGGAUAUUGGUAUUAUUAGAUUGCAUACAUGGAUACGAAGGAAAUUUCAGCAUUGGUAAUAGUACUGUUUGUUGAGUUUGUUGAUAUGGUAUUUGCCGAAUGUAAUGUUGGCUGCCAAUCAUGCUCUGGUUCGACUUGCACAAGUUGUGAAUCAUCCUACUAUUUAUCAAGUGGCUUCUGUUUGCCAUGCCCCGAGGAUUGUGAAAGUUGUAACAGCUGGGAUUACUGUACGUCAUGUAAGCCGUAAAAGUUUAGUUUGCAAGGAAGAUGUACUUUCAACUGUGAUGGUAAUUGUCUAAAUAGUGAAUGCGAUGGUGAUACUGGAUAUUGUACUCAGUGUAAGCCUGGUUUCUAUGGAUUUCAAUGUCAACAUAACUGUAGUUUAUAUGCCGAUGAACGUUGUGAUUUACGUAAAUGCUCAAGUGGUUGUAGAGCUGGAUAUUAUGAGUAUAAGAGCGAUGUCGAUACACUAUGUCAAACAUGUCAGUCAAAUUGUAAACAUUGUAGGGAUGGAAAAACGUGUUAUAUUUGCAAAAAAUCAUGGUUUUCAUCUCUUUAAGUUUAAUAACAACGUUCACUGUGUUUCAUGUUUCCAAGACACGCAAUGUCCAGACUGUUUUAUUGAAGGUUGUAAUAAGUGUCAAGUACACAUUGAUUCGUUAGUCUGCGCUGAUUGUCCAGAAGGACAAAUAUUUAAUGGUAAAACUUGCGGGUCACACACAUCAUCCUGCUCACAAGAAUGUUCUACGGAUUGUGAUAGUACUGGAAUAUGUCAAGGAGAAUGUAAUGCGAGUUGGACAGGUGAAAAAUGUUCAGAAACAUGUAACAGCAAGUGUUUUAAGUGCCCAAAAGAUAACGCAAAUGGUUGUCUACUGUGUAAAGGUAAUUUUUACUCAACCGAUUGCAGUUUAGAAUGCAAUCCUGCAUGCAUAUUGAUAAAUGAUAAACGUACAUGUGAACAGACAGACGGAUAUUGUUUGAACGAAUGUAACCAAUCAUUUUGGGACGAUACAUGCGAGAAACAUUGUCCUAGUGGAUGUUAAGAUCUUAAAUGUGAUAGAAACAACGGUACAUG